UGAGUGUGACAAUGGGCUGUUGUGAGGAGAAGUUCCAUGCAGAUUACGAAGGGUUCAGAAAGGACAGGGGAAUUGAAAGACAGCUGUAAUUAGAAAGCAUAGGCAUUCAAAGCUGCCUGGAGGUCAAAGGGGCUGGGCUGGCAGGCUGGGGAGAUCGGGCAGGAAAUGGGCACGGAAGCCCUGCAGUUCAGGGCUGACAUAAUUGGACAGAGAGCGGCAGCCAGUUACCAUGGUAACAGCCAAUCCGAGUGGCCGCGUAUGUGGCAAGGAGUCAAGGUUUCUAAAGAAGGGGCUAAAAAUGCUGCCUUUGUUCCCACUUUGAGCGAGUUGCCAUCAGAUCCCUGUGGGGGUGACGCGGCAUGGGGACAGAGCCAACAACUGCUAGCCACCAUGGCUGGGAGGGAGCCACGGGACAAUGGACUUCCUGCAGGAAGGCAAGAGUUGAAGCAGGGGACCCAUGAGGAAACCACUGCGCUGGCCCAGGUUGGUGGCACAACUCACUU
rnacentral:lncRNA from 1 species